rnacentral:lncRNA from 1 species
CCGCACGCCAGCGCCCUGUCGCCUGAUCUAGGGCGCGCCUAGCAGCGAGGCCGCCCUAGCCCAGUUGGCCAUCUUCCCCAACCCAAGGCCCAGCUGCCGCACCGGCCAGGCCCAGCAGUGCCAAUUUGACCCAUCUCUAGCUCCCUCCUCUAAAGCCGGGCCCCGACCCAAGGUGAGCCACCCGAGCCUCUUUAUUUCACGCCAUAGGCGCUUCUUAAUAUGUUGCGCCCGUGGUUAGUUUCAACCCAUUAACCACUUUCAACCUAAGUAGUUUUUUUAACGCCUGAGAUUUUCUUUAAUUCAAGAAAACAUGCAUAUUUUGAAACGUGUGUAACUUUUAAAUUGUGCGUUGGGUCGGAAUAGUUUAUAUAUGUAGAACGUGUAGAAUUUCACGUAGAUUAAUAUCAAAAACUAUUAACCUUGUUGUUUGCCUUGUUUUGUGUGUCGUGCCAUGCUAAAACGGUUUAGUUUGUAGUUAAUUAAUCGUAGCUCCGUUGGAGAUGAACCAGAUAUGUAAAUGGACUAGAACGAUGAGUAGAAUCACAUGAACCACUUUGUUUUGCCAUUUAACAAACAUAAAAAGUGGUUAGGACAAACCUGGACAGAUUGUGAACUUAAUGAGUGGGGUAAUUUCGGAAAUGUUGUAUGUCAUUUCCGGCCUCAUUUAAAAUGGCUAGAUAGCUAGUUUAUACGCUUCACCCCUUGCCAUGUUUAACAACAUUUAAUAUUUCUUGUAAUUAAACAAUAAUGAACUAAAUAAUUAAAUGUGGAGUUUCGUCAAUAUGCAACUCGUUGCAUAUUGAUCUUCUCUUAAUGUGUAGUGUCUAUUUGUUGUGAGUUGCCAUGCCAUGCCUUGCAUAAUCGAACCGAUCAUGCAUCAUAUUAGGGAGCGCAUCAUAUCGUGCAUGUGCCGUGGUGAAUAUCAUGUGUUGAUUCUUGUUUCCGGUUUGCUUUGUCUCGAUAGAGUUCUGCAAGCGUGUCGGAAUGUGAGGAUCCGUUCGACUACAACGGUUCGACUGCUUCACGGAUUCGCUCUUCUUCCAGGCGGGUUCACAGGCAAGAUGAUCAUUUCCCUUGAUACCAUUACUAUCAUUGACAUGCUAACUGUCGCAUUUCUUUCGCCAUCUCUCACUGCCUACCACCUGUUAAAUAUCAGCCUCCCUGUCGGAUUUCGGGGUCAGUAAAACCCUAAGGAUUCGAACACUGGGUGUGCACGAAGGUCUCUCCCUACUUUGCCUCGCCUAGCCCACUAUUCAAUGGAAACGACGAAGGACUCGCUCGAUGGCGAGGGGAACACAGAACACAAUAAUUUACUCAGGUUCGGGCCGUUCUGAAGCGUAAAACCCUACUC